GACGAACCGAGCGAACGUUGUUCGGAAUCACUGGGCUUAAAGGGCGCGUAGGCGGGCUCUCAAGUCCGGGGUGAAAUCCCACAGCUCAACUGUGGAACUGCCUCGGAUACUGGGAGUCUCGAGGGUGGCAGGGGUAUGCGGAACUAUCGGUGGAGCGGUGAAAUGCGUUGAUAUCGAUAGGAACUCCGGUGGCGAAGGCGGCAUACUGGUCCACUUCUGACGCUGAGGCGCGAAAGCCAGGGGAGCAAACGGG
rnacentral:rRNA from 1 species